rnacentral:rRNA from 1 species
CCAGACUCCUACGGGAGGCAGCAGUGGGGGAUAUUGGACAAUGGGGGGAACCCUGAUCCAGCGAUGCCGCGUGAGGGAAGAAGGUUUUCGGAUUGUAAACCUCUGUGGACAGGGACGAUAAUGACGGUACCUGUCAAGAAGGCCACGGCUAACUACGUGCCAGCAGCCGCGGUAAUACGUAGGUGGCGAGCGUUGUCCGGAAUUACUGGGUGUAAAGGGAGCGUAGACGGUUUUUCAAGUCUGAAGUGAAAGCCCGCGGCUCAACUGCGGAACGGCUUUGGAAACUGAGGGACUAGAGUGCUGGAGGGGCAGGCGGAAUUCCUGGUGUAGCGGUGAAAUGCGUAGAUAUCAGGAGGAACACCAGUGGCGAAGGCGGCUUACUGGACUGUAACUGACGUUGAGGCUCGAAAGCGUGGGGAGCAAACAGGAUUAGAUACCCGGGUACU